GAAAUGCGAUAAGUAGUGUGAAUUGCAGAAUUUAGCGAAUCAUCGAAUCUUUGAACGCACAUUGUGCCCCUUGGUAUUCCAUGGGGCAUGCCUGUUCGAGCGUCAUUUCAACCCUCAAGCACUGCUUGGUGUUGGGCGUUUGUCCCGCCUACGCGCGUGGACUCGCCUCAAAGUCAUUGGCAGCUGUUCCCCUUCGGCUCGUAAGCGCAGCACAGUCGGCGCCCGGAGCUCUGGUGGGAUGGCGUCCAGCAAGCUAUAUUUUCAGGCUCGACCUCGGAUCAGGUAGGGAUACCCGCUGAACUUAAGC
rnacentral:misc_RNA from 1 species